AGUGAAAGUAACAAGUUAUGGAAAAUGGCGUGGGAUAAUGAAUCUAGAGGGAGACAAUUGUAUAGGUUACAAAAUACAGUACAAGUUAAAAGAAAUAAAGGAAUAUAGCUAUAUUAUUGCUAAAGCACUAAAGCACUUUCUGGAUGAAUGCAAACUGCAUUUCGUUGCCCGUGUGUGCAAUGGCAAUAAAGUUGAAUUCUAUGCUAUUCUAUUCUUUGUUGUGGUUGAUGAUGAGUGUAUUUUUCCUUUUUUGCAUGCUUUUACUGUAUUUAUUGGGACGUCCUCCGGAGAGACUCCUCCCCCCUGCUUUCCCUAACUAAUUAGAUAACCUGGAGGGCACAGGGGACAGCAAUCAAUCAGGCCUCCUUUGUUGGCAGCGAGAGGCCAAAAAGAGGGCCUGUCAGGUCGGAAAAGGGGACGUGGCCGGACGGAGGGCAGGAGGAGAGAGCCAUUGAGUAGCGUGGCGGCAGGCGCAGCCAAAGGCAGUGUAGCAUUCCAGCCGGACUUUAUUCAGACGAUGCACUCAAUGAUCAUUACGGAUGGUCCAUGGUGGGGUAUUCCAACCCAUUUAUUCACAAGUUUUACCAUAGAAACAUCGUAAGAGCUGUAAUCAUAACAUAAAACAAAAUAAACAUUCACUUGAUAUAACCACAUUUCCUAAAUGCUAAUUAAUUCACAGAAAAGGCACAAGAGGUGCUAGCAUCAGCCUGCUAGAUCACUCAUAAACUUGUUAACAAUCAAGUAAUAAAUUUACAAAUUGUCCGAAAUGUUAACAACAAGAAAAAUACACAAACAUACCUGUUCGCCUUCCAGCUAGAUGCUAAUUUAAAGAUGGAUGGGAAACGAUAACCUUUUCAUUAACCUUUUCUGCAGCAAGCAGUAGCAGUACGAUCUUCCUUCCCGGAAGUUGUCCGUUCCGAAUUUCAAAAUAAGAGUCUAAUCUAUAUUAUAAGGUGUAAUUCGUUCAGGGAUUUAACUGUUUGAAAAAUAUCAAUGAGACAAAUAAUCUGGGUCAUUUACACUCCCACCAAAUCAUUAGUGUUCCAAACAUCAUAACUCCAUAACCAUAGGAAGAGAGAACACAAAUGAUUUCAUAAUACAAAUAAUGACCAAACAACAGAAGCAUAGUAUGCAAGGAAUGAACUAGUCAUUUUCCAACAAUAAGACUAGUUUUUGAACUGGCCGUUCGAGCACUGACUGCUUAGUGAGACGUUCACCAUUUUUGCCAAGUUUCCUGUCACCUAGACAUAGCUUUACUCUCCUAACCAGUCCAUCUCUGUCCAUUGUAGUCUCUACGACUCUUCCCAACCUCCAUUCAUUUCUGGGCAAGUCUUCAUCCUUCAUUAUGACUAUAUCCCCGAUCUGCAGGUUUCUCUUUGGGGUGUGCCAGCGUUGUCUAAAGGCAAUGUUGGCCAAGUACUCUUUCCGCCAACGGCUCCAGAACUGCUCGGCCAAAUAUUGUACGUGGCGCCAUCUCUUUCUCGCAUACAUAUCUUCUCUUAUGAACUUGCCGGGGGGAGGAAGGGCCAUGGUAGACUUCAGGGUAAGUAAGUGGUUUGGUGUCAGUGGCUCAAGACUGUUGGGAUCAUGUAGGUUUUCAAUAGUGAGAGGACGACUGUUAACUAUCGUCAUUGCUUCAUAGAAGAAUGCUCGGAGGGAAGCAUCAGGUAGGUUUCCAGGUGAGAGACCAAGGGUUGCGUUGAGAACACUCCUGACUGUUCUAAUUUGACGCUCCCACACUCCACCAACAUGACUUGAACCAGGAGCAUUUAGGAUGAAGUCACACUGCUUCUUAGAAAGGAAGUUCGUCAGUUUAUCACCAUCAGUUCAUUCUUGGCUCCUAGGAAGUUACUGCCUUGGUCAGAUUUGAUCUGGCGCACGGCUCCACGUAUAGCAAUGAAGCAGCGCAGCCCAAUUAUGAAUGAGUCUGUAGAUAGGUCCUCCAGCAUUUCCAUAUGGAUGGCUCUAGAGGAGAAGCAGGUGAAAAGGAGACCAUAUCGUUUUCGCACACUACGUCCUUGCUUGCUAUAGAAGGGUCCAAAGCAAUCCAUUCCACAGUAGGUAAAAGGUGGAGAUGGAUUUACUCGCUCUGGAGGGAGAUCGGCCAUUUUCUGUUCUUCUGUCCGUCUCCGAAGCUUCCGACAAACUACACAUUGGCGAAGAUAGGAUGCAACCGUCCUACCAAUUCCUGGUAUCCAGUAACCUCUUGUCCUAAUUGCACUGAGAGUCAUCCCCUUGCCUUGAUGCUUGACUUCUUCAUGACAGUAUGCUAUGAUCAUCCUUGUAACAUGAUGUUCCUUUGGAAUGAUGGUAGGGUGUUUAACUGAGAGAGGAAGGUUUGAAUCACAGAGUCGACCUCCCACCUUAAUCACACCAUUGUUGUCCAAGAAGGGGUUGAGGUGAUGUAGCUUGUUAUGAGGUGGCAGCUGACAACCUUUCUUCAAUAGCCGCACUUCCUCCGAGUAUGUUUGUCUCUGCAGAUCUUUGAUGAUGAGGCGCUCUGCUUCUUCUCUUUCAUGCACUGUAGAGAGGCCGAUUGACUUAUCCUUGUUAAUCCUUCGAAGAAUGCGAGCCACUGCACAGAUGGCGCGAGUCCAGGACGAGAACUUUGUCAGCCGAUAGGUAAGAGAAUCUUGUUCUACAGUUUCUGUGUUUAGAGUCCGUGUUUCCUUAACUUCUGGAUCUCCGACUGACAGUUCCGGAGCCACCUCUUCUGAGAGGUCAACUCCCUUUUCCCAUAGAAAUGCAGGGCCGGUAAACCAGUUCGAUGAUAUUAGCUCAUUGACGAAACAACCUCUAGAAGCACGAUCCGCAGGAUUCUGGUCGGUAGGGACGUAUCUCCAUUGCCUUCGAUUCGUGUAGAGAUGUAUCUUCUGGAUACGGUUGGCUACGAAUGUAUGAAAACGUCGAGCCUCGUUAUUGAUGUACCCUAGUACAACCUUGGAAUCGGUCCAAAAAUGCUCUUCAAUGUCCGCACAUCCAAGUUCUUCCUUCAAAACAUUGCUGGUUUUCACAGAGAUGACUGCAGCUGUCAACUCCAAUCUUGGGAUCGUGGUAACCUUUGUUGGGGCAACGCGAGAUUUGGCCAUGACUAGUGCACAGUGGAUGUCUCCUUCUUCAUUGCUAAGCCUCAGAUAUGAGCACUGUCCAUAGCCAGUAGUGCUUGCGUCGGAAAAGUGAUGUAACUCACGUUUGAUAACCUUUCCGAAAUCUGCCGGGGCAUAACUUCGGGGUAUAUUUAUCCUCUCCAAGUUGUUGAUGUCGUUUUUCCAUUUCUCCCACCGUGGGCGAAGAUCGUUGGUUAGAGGGUCGUCCCAACCUGUUCCAUGGCAGCACAUCUGCUGCAGCACUUCCUUACCAAUGAGCAAAAAAGGGGCUAUGAGACCCAAGGGAUCGUACAGGGAUGCAACAAUGGACAAUAUGCCUCGACGCGUUGCAGGCUGUUCCUUAAGGUUGGUGCUGAUCUUCAGGCAGUCUGAUUUGACGUGCCAUUGGAUGCCUAAUGCUCUCUCUGAAGGUAAGUUAUCAAAGGCAAGGUUGAGGUCUUUAAUGUCUGAUGCACGUUCAGUUGCUGGUAUGCUUUCCAGGACAGCUUUGUCGUUGGACACAAACUUGUGGAGCCUAAGACCACCCAGGGCACAAAGUCUUCUGGCUUCUUCUGCUAACUUGAUAGCCUUCUCUGAGCUGUCUGUACUUGUGACUCCAUCGUCGACGUAGAAAUUUCUCAGAAUGAACUGAGAGCCUAAUGGGUAUAGGUCUUUAUUUUCUGUAGCCAAAUGCUUCAAACCGUAGUUCGCACAACCAGGCGAUGAGGCUGCGCCAAAGAUAUGCACCCUCAUACGGUAUUCUUGGGGCUGUGCACUGAGAUCUCCUUUCUUCCACCAAAGGAAGCGCAGGUAAUCCUGGUCCGACUUCCUCACAUGAAAUUGGUGAAACAUUUUCUCUAUGUCGCACAUCAAUGCAGUGGAGUGCAACCGGAAGCGAAGGAGUACACCGUUGAGAUUGUUCAUCAGGUCAGGACCAGUGAGCAGAUGAUCGUUCAGACUGGUUCCCUGGUACUUGGCAGAGCAGUCAAACACCACGCGCAGUUUGCCUGGCUUCUUGUCGUGGAAUACACCAUGAUGAGGUAUGUACCAUUUUUCGCCCUCUUUACCAUCAUCGUGGACUUCCUCUGCAUCACCCUUUUCUAUGACCUCCUCCAUGAACUUGACAUACUGUUCUUUGUACCCUUUAUCCUUUAAGAGCUUCCUCUUUAGAUGGCUCAGGCGCAUGACUGCAAGCUGUUUGUUGUCAGGUAAGGUAGGUCUCUCCUUAAAGGGUAGCGGCAUCUCGUAGUGACCUAGACUGUUCUUUCUGAUGUGGUUCUUGAGUUUGUCCAGGAACAGGAUGUCCUCCUGAGACACUGGUUUGCCGUCUUCCUUAGCAUCCUUUGAGUGUUAAAGUAGUGCUUUUGUGACUACGGAUUGACUUUGUCACUCUAGAUGCAGUGGAUCCAUAGAUGGAGCGUGCGUAGCUGUUCUUAAGCAGCUCCCUGAGACGGUGAUGUGCUUGUUCUGCAUCAUAAUCACCAUCGAGGUCUGACAUUCUUUCAUAGGUAACUUUCAUAAUGUCGGCUGUAACUGCCUCACAACUGUCAACGUGACGUCUUAAUUCUGGAGAAGGUGUAAUGUGACUUCGUAUUUCAAGGUAAGUGUUUAACACAGUUUCUUUCUCUUUCUCCAAAGCAUCCAUCAAAGAUGCCAGCUCUCCUUUACUAAUGUCUGACUUGAGCUGCUCUCUUGACUCUCGGGCUCGAAUCUUCCAUCUUUCGUAUGUUGAGAUGAACUUUUUUUCUCUUUUUCUUGCUUCUUCCUGUUGCAUUUCGAGAGCCUUUGGAGUUGGGAUUUUUGUUCGAGUGGAGCGUCGGAGGCCUUCUUUAAGCUCGCCUUGCAAGUUGUUCAACGUUUCUUCUCUGCGUUGAAUUUCCUUCUCCAAAAGUUCUAUUUCCGUAGUUUCUGAUGUGUCUUCAAGAGACGCCUUAAGCCUUUCGAUUUUAUUCUGCAGGUCAACUAUCUGAUGCUCUAGUUCUGUUUGUGAGGAGGGAUUCUCCAUUUCCUUUAUGUUUAUGUUAUUUACUUAUCUAAUUUACAGGCUUUAGUUAAUGAGCUGCUUGUGGUUACUAUAACUUACAGGCUGCAUUAACAGAAGGGAGGAGAAUCUUUGCACUUUAAACCAAGUUGAAAUAGAAGCAGAUAACCAACACAAAUGUUGAGAAGAAAUGUAUAAAAUAACGAAUGCAACCAGCUAGCUGUUGCAAACUGAUGUGGUGAAGUAAACCUCUUAUGCUAAACACAAAUCCAAUACACUGUUAAGACCGUACAGUUACAAAUUGAAUCAAAUGCCCCCUUAGAGUCAGUAGAAAGAAUGAUAAAUAAACAGUGGUGGUGGUAAAUACCAAUAAACAAGACUAAUUCACUUGUUAUCACUUCAUGUCUGUUAUUUCUUAAUGCAAUGUCCUUAGUGCAGAUGUCCACAGUAGUUGACGUCCUCUCUCCUUUUUAACCACCACUGAUGAGCAUGAAUGUCCUUUCCUUGUCAAUUAUAUUGAAAUGUUCCAUACCUUUUCUGACCGUCACAUCAAACCAUUAAACCAGCUGCAUGAUGAUCAUAAAGUCUCUGUCUAGAAGACCCAUAGAAUGGCGCUGAGCUGCUCCGUGAAAUGUCUUGUCAAUCCCAGACGAAUAGCAACACAGCUCCGUGACUCGUCCUCGUGGUGCAGCGUGGCAGCAGGAUGAUGCGGGGGAUCAGCUCUUACUGUAGCAUUCCAGCCGGACUUUAUUCAGACGAUGCACUCAAUGAUCAUUACGGAUGGUCCAUGGUGGGGUAUUCCAACCCAUUUAUUCACAAGUUUUACCAUAGAAACAUCGUAAGAGCUGUAAUCAUAACAUAAAACAAAAUAAACAUUCACUUGAUAUAACCACAUUUCCUAAAUGCUAAUUAAUUCACAGAAAAGGCACAAGAGGUGCUAGCAUCAGCCUGCUAGAUCACUCAUAAACUUGUUAACAAUCAAGUAAUAAAUUUACAAAUUGUCCGAAAUGUUAACAACAAGAAAAAUACACAAACAUACCUGUUCGCCUUCCAGCUAGAUGCUAAUUUAAAGAUGGAUGGGAAACGAUAACCUUUUCAUUAACCUUUUCUGCAGCAAGCAGUAGCAGUACGAUCUUCCUUCCCGGAAGUUGUCCGUUCCGAAUUUCAAAAUAAGAGUCUAAUCUAUAUUAUAAAGUGUAAUUCGUUCAGGGAUUUAACUGUUUGAAAAAUAUCAAUGAGACAAAUAAUCUGGGUCAUUUACAGGCAGGGAGAGCCAUGGAGCGCCAAUUGGCGGCAGGGCGCGGCCGCAGGAGAAGAGAGCGGGCCCUUGCAGAAGCGGGAGCGGAGUGGCCCGACGAAGGACGCUGGCGGCCUGGCCCUACUGGUGGACACAAGAAGUGUGGCGGAUUCCGAUUUGGACCCUUGGGACUUUGGCUCGCUGACUGAGGAACACUUUUUUUUUUUUUUUUUUUUAAAUUGUGCUGAGUUUUACGUUGUUUCGAUUAUUCUCUUCCCUGAUCAGAGUAUUUUUUAAUGCUGUAAGUAAAGUGUAUUUUUAUUGACUAUUUUAACCGGGUUUACACAUCUUUCUGUUCCCGUGAUCAUCCCCUGCUGCUAUUUCCGUUUUAGUUCCCUUCUAGUAUACAUCCGUGACAUGCAUAUGUGCUUUCCUCUAUAAAAUACUUUACUCUCUGAUCUGGCCUGAAAAGUUUCUUAAUUGUAAGAAUUUUUAGAAGGCUGAAAAGGAACCUCAAGGAGGGGCUUCUCAUAACGACUUGAAUUACACUAUGCUCCGAUGUGCACAAAAUAAAAAGUGAUGGAAUGAUACCACAGACAUAACAGAGUUAAUGACACUUUAUAGAUUCAUUUGUAAUGGGACGCUGGUUGAAGUUACGGUAAAAAUCCUUCAACUUUAAUUAUUAAGAAAUGAAAAUGUCAUUUGUAAAUGACCAGAAGCAUCUAAUAACUGUUGCUCUCAGCCUGGGGAACAUAAAAAUAACAUUUGC
ensembl:lncRNA